rnacentral:lncRNA from 1 species
CAACUUGCUCUAAGGGAGAGAGACAUCUUGCUCUAAGAUUCAUUAGAGCAAGAGAGGCAUGCAAUCUUUAGCACACUGCCAUAUUUCAGGUCAGUUUCAAAUACUGGUGCACCAAACAUUUUAUCACGGUCUUUGCAUCUUCUCAGUGUUCAGAAUUUUGGUGAAUUGGGAUAAAUUAGUUCAUCUCAGAUUUACUUAAAUUUUUAUGCAAUGGCAAUAUAUACAGCAAGUGAUGGCAACCAGUGACUUUAAUGAUUACGUGGGGCAGUAAUUUUUUCUUCAUUUUUCAAUCAUUCAUUGCCGCCUGAUUAUAUAUAUAUUUUAGACCGAUAUCACCAACUGCAUGACUAUUUCUGGUCUUGAGUGCUCCACAAACUUUGAGGCUAAAUAUCUCAAGCUGCCCAAAGGUUAUAGAAUACUGCUGCUGCUGUUGGCUUUUUAAAAAAUGGACACGGAAUGGAUAUAAAAGCAAUAAUGAAAUGUUUGGAUCACCAAAAUUUCAGCAUUUUGAAAGUUCAUCUGCACAAGCAUAUUGUUUCCAGAAUUCUAGACUGGAGACCCCCGAUGGGCCUCAGUACUACAGCCCACCCUCUGACCACACCAGUGUUUAACUGGAUUGGUGUCUGCGGCAGCAAUUCCUUGUGUGUGCAGUGCAUAGGCAUGCAUGUUACGGAGAGUGAAGGCAGGGACAAAAAGAAUUGGGAUGAGGUGAGAGAGAGGAAAAGCAGAAGCUCUUGGAGACACUUCUGCGUUGUCUGGCAGCUCCUCUUCUUCACAAUAAAACUCACACCCUCAUUCCCAUCUGGUCUGCUGCUGAGCCAAGAAGCCUCAUCUCCUUCCUUUGAGGGGAAAGGGCGAGAAGGGCCACAGAAGGAAAUCAGGAGAAGAUCAGAAAUCAGAACCUGGAAUCAGCACUGUUGCUAAUUCACACCAUUGAUUCAUGGCCAAUUCCAGCAAGAGGGGGUUGCAGAUAAGCCCAACCAAUGGCAUAACUGCUCCCAGGAAGUUUCUGGGAUGAGUUUGGGAUGCGUAAAUGGUCUUUUAUCUUCCAGGGCUGCCUAGCCAGCUGCAUUCCUGAGAUAAUUAUUGUAUGGGGUCAAUCAAGUGACACAUUGAUAAGGCAAAACCUAGGUGAUAUCUGGUGUUUGUCUUUGGCCUACUAGCUUAGAGUUUUCAUGCUUUAGCAGCCUAAACAGGAGACUAUCUGCUUCUAGAAAUGACUACACAUUGUUAGGAAAACAUUAGCUACCUAGCAAAGCAAACGUAUGAAUUAGCCCUUUAGAGCUUCCUAAAGUGCAAAGGCACAUUUGAGCAAGCUGGGAAGAGUGGAUGGGCAAAGAGAUCACUGAAGUGGCAGGACAAGGCUGUAUUUCCUUUUUGCAUCCUGUUGUUUAGUCGUGUCCGACUCUUCGUGACCCCAUGGACCAGAGCACGCCAGGCACUUCUGUCCUCCACUGCCUCCCGCAGUUUGGUCAAACUCAUGCUGGUAGCUUCAAGAACACCAUCCAACCAUCUCAUCCUCUGUCCUCCCCUUCUCCUUGUGCCCUCCAUCUUUCCCAACAUCAGGGUCUUUUCCAGGGAGUCUUCUCUUCUCAUGAGGUGGCCAAAGUAUUGGAGCCUCAGCUUCCAGAUCUGUCCUUCCAGUGAGCACUCAGGGCUGAUUUCCUUAAGAAUGGAUAGGUUUGUUCUUCUUGCAGUCCAUGGGACUCUCAAGAGUCUCCUCCAGCACCAUAAUUCAAAAGCAUCAAUUCUUGGGCGAUCAGCCUUCUUUAUGGUCCACCUCUCACUUCCAUACAUCACUACUGGGAAAACCAUAGCUUUUACUAUACGGACCUUUGUUGGCA